rnacentral:lncRNA from 1 species
CAAAAUUAAACACGUCAAUCUCCCUCACCUUAUCCAUGACAUGUACAAUAUAAAUAGAAGCUAUUCGCAAGCAGAGCUUAAGAAAUUGAUAGUAUCUCAUCGACCCACCGCACAGGCUCAAGUCCUAUCAGUCAAUUUUAUCAAUUAAACCUCUGCCCGUCGUGGAUUCAACGGUAUUAGUAACCUAGUCGAGCAAUCCCGGUCACUACAGAUCAAGAUGAAUAAACGCCUGUUGAUUCUGGUAGCAGUGGUGUAUUUUUUGGGGAUGAUUGGAUUGGCGUACGGAGAUUGUCCAGAUCGUUGCUGGUACUACAGGAGUGAAGCAGUCAAACAUUGUUCUUCUCCGACAUCAACAAAUGAGUGCAGUGGGUACGACCUUUUCGGCAUAUGUCGAUGUUGGUGUUGUUAAACUUGUCUCUUGUUCGAUUAACUCAUAAAAUAUAAUAUGCUAGCAACUUUAUACUGUAAAGAUGCGUGCAAUUUUAUUUUACUGGAAUUCGGUAAUAAUAAUAAAUAUAUGACGACCCUGUUUGAUUUACGGAUAACGGCUAUAACAAUGAAUUUCGUUAUUUUACGAGUCAUGUUUUCUAUGAUACUUUUACAACUCAAUUUAUUUGCAGUAGCGUGUAGUAUAACAGAUAUUUAGAAAUCCCUAAAUUAAUACUAAUUGCUGUCGAUAUAUGGUGCUAGCUUCUCUUAUAUUCUCCUCGUGCGUAUUAAAAAGCUUGUAUAUUUAAUUCGCAUAAUGUACCUACUUAUAAAAAAAAAAAAAAAUUACAUACAUAUUAUUAUAAUUUAUAACUAACCAACGAUUUUUAUUGUAAUAAAAAAAAAAUAAUGUAAAACUAUUAACCACAUUUUAAACUUUGUUGUUAAACACAAUAUAGAUAUAUUAAUAUAAAUACCAAAUUGCUAUGUUAUUAAACAAAAUACGUCUUAUGACUACCCAUAACAAUUAAUGUUUAAUAUAUUUAUAUAUAUAUAUGUGUUAUUACCUUUUGAAAUUAAUAAUCUGUGAAAAAAAAUGUAAUUACAGAAUGCUUCCAAUAAUUUUUAUUAUGUGCAUAAAAUUAUUUGAAUUGUUAAAUAUAAUUUUAAAAUAUUGACAUGUAAUUUUGAACUUACAGAAAUCAUGUUUUUUUUAAUUAAAUAUUUAAUUCCAAACUUAUUCAUUUUCAUUGGCAUAUAUCUUAGUCGUGUUAAAGUAGGUAUAAUAUUUGAUGAGGAAAUCUAAUUUGUUUUUAGCUUAUGAACCUUGUUCAACACACCGUGCAUUUGCUGUAAUAAAUAUAUUAUUCUUUUUUUUUUUUAAUAAACUAAUGUACACACAAUAAAUAUUAUUUAUUUAUUUAUACGGAAUUCAUUCCAUUUACAAUAUUGUAGAUAUUAUAGUACUAAUUGCACUAUUGCAGUAUAACUGACAAAAUAUUAUGUACCAUUUUUUAUCUAAGAUAAACAUUAGAUAAAUCAUAACAUAAUUAUUUAGAUACUUUAAAAGAUUAUUUAUUUCAAAAAAUCUUAUUUAGAUAAUUUUAUAAGUCCCAACAUUGUUUAUUAGUUAUCCAAAAAAGUAGAAUUGAAAUAUAUGAAGCCUGCACAUAGUCAUUGAGUGUUUCCAUCGUGAUCACGCUGUAUAAUCUGUAAUAAAUUUAUAAAAUAGGUAAUGUAAGGGGUGGUACAAAUAUUCAAGACUGGACGGCGCGAUAGAAGGCCCCCACUCUAAUGACGCUACGUCAUGAAACUACGUACUUGAAAUUUCUUUUUCAAACACCAAUAAAAAAUUAAACUCGUCAGUGCCCCCUCACCUUAUCCACGACAUUUGCAAUAUAAAUAGAAACUAUCCGCAACCAGAACUUCAGAGAAGAAGUAUCUCAUCGCCCUACAGCACAGCUCAGUCUUUAUAAGUAAAUUGUAUCAAUUAAACCUCUGCCCGUCGUGGAUUCAACGGUAUCAGCUAGUCAUCUAGUCCAUCAAAUCCAGGUAACUACAGAGCAAGAUGAUAAAACAACUAUUGAUUCUGGUAGCAGUGGUGUAUUUCUUGGGGAUGAUUGGAUUGGCGUACGGAGAUUGUCCAGAACGUUGCUGGUACUACAGGAGUGAAGCAGUCAAACAUUGUUCUUCUCCAACAGCAACAAACGAGUGUAGUGGGUACGACCUUUUCGGCAUAUGUCGAUGUUGGUGUUGUUAGACUUGUCCCUCGCUCGAUUGACUCGUAAAAUAUAAUAUGCUAGCAACUUUAUACUGUAAAGAUGCGUGCAAUUUUAUUUUACUCGAAUUCGGUAACAAUAAUAAUUAAUACAUGACGCCCAUGUUUGAUUUACGGAUAACGGCUAUAUAAUAAUGAAUUUCGUUUUUUUACGAAUCAUAUUGUUUUCUAUGGUACACUUUCACAACUCAAUUUAUCUGCAGAAACAUAGUUUAAUAGAUAAUAUUUAGAAAUACCUAAAUAUUAAUACUAAUUGCCGAAGUGCUAGACUUCUUUUAUUCUCCUCAUGUGUAUCAAAUAGCUUGUAUAUUUCAUUCGUGAUAUUGUACCUACAAAAAAAUAAUUAUUAUAAUUAUUUGUAACUAACCAAUUAUUUUCAUUGUAAUAAAAAAUAAAAUAACGUAAAACUAUUAAUCACAUAAUUUGACAAUGUAAACUUUUUUGUUAAACACAAUAUAGAUAUAUUUAUAUAAAUAUACCUAAUUGCUAUGUUAUUAAACAAAAUACGUCUAAUAACUAUCUGUAACGAUUAAUAUUUUAUAUUAUAUAGGUACUUUUGAAAUCAAUAAUCUGUAAAAAGCAGUACAAUAAUUAUUUAAAUUGUAAAAUAUAAUUUUAAAAUAUUGACGUGCGAUUUUGAAUUUACAGAAAUCAAGUUCUGCACAUUAAACAUUUAAUUCCAAAAUUAUUCAUUUUUAUUGUCAUAUGUUAUAGUCGUAUUUAUGCAGGUAUAAUUCUGGAUGAGGAAAUAUAUUUUGUCUUUAGCUUAUGAACCUUGUUCAAUACAUCGUGUUUCUGCUGUAUCAAAUAUAUUAUUAUUUUUUAAUAAACUUAUAUACACAUAGAGAAA